UACGUAGGGUGCGAGCGUUGUCCGGAAUUACUGGGCGUAAAGAGCUAGGUGGUUUGUCGCGUUGUUCGUGAAAACUCACAACUCAAUUGUGGGCGUGCGGGCGAUACGGGCAGACUGGAGUACUGCAGGGGAGACUGGAAUUCCUGGUGUAGCGGUGGAAUGCGCAGAUAUCAGGAGGAACACCGGUGGCGAAGGCGGGUCUCUGGGCAGUAACUGACGCUGAGGAGCGAAAGCGUGGGGAGCGAACAGG
rnacentral:rRNA from 1 species